rnacentral:rRNA from 1 species
UGGUGGGGUGACUUGUCUGGUUAAUUCCGAUAACGAACGAGAUCUUGGCCUACUAAAUAGACAUAUUUCCGCUGGUGAUUGGUUUCGGCCGGUUGCCGGGAGGUUAUGGUGAUUAUUCACACCCGAUCGGUUCGCCGGUUGGGUUGCUUCUUAGAGGGACUAUGGGUGAUUAACCCAGGGAAGCUCAAGGCAAUAACA